CACCUCUAAACAAAAUCCACCAUGACCACAAAUAGGACUGUCACGAUAACAAAUUGCGCUGGACGAUAAAUUGUCCCAGAAAUUAUUGCAAUAAACGAUAAUAUUGUUGUUCUGAGACCAUUUUCAUCUACUAAAAUGAUAAUGGC